rnacentral:rRNA from 1 species
GGACUACCCGGGUAUCUAAUCCUGUUCGUUACCCUGGCCUUCGUCCCUCAACGUCAGUUAUUAUAUAAAAGGUUGCUUUUGCCAUUAUCAGUCCUCAUAGUAUCAAAAAAUUUCAUCUCUACUCUAUAAAUACUCCCCUUCUCACAUAAAACUCUAGUAAUAUUGUACUCUAUUUUGAGCUAAUAUUACUGUCUAGGUACCCUUUAAACCUAUUGAAGAUGAAUAACACUAGUCUUUUACGUAUUACCGCGGCUGCUGGCAC